AGUGAACGCUGGCGGUAGGCCUAACACAUGCAAGUCGAACGGCAGCACAGGAGAGCUUGCUCUCUGGGUGGCGAGUGGCGGACGGGUGAGGAAUACAUCGGAAUCUACUUUUUCGUGGGGGAUAACGUAGGGAAACUUACGCUAAUACCGCAUACGACCUGCGGGUGAAAGCAGGGGAUCUUCGGACCUUGCGCGAUUGAAUGAGCCGAUGUCGGAUUAGCUAGUUGGCGGGGUAAAGGCCCACCAAGGCGACGACCCGUAGCUGGUCUGAGAGGAUGAUCAUGCACACUGGACCUGAGACACGGUCCAGACUCCUACGGGAGGCAGCAGUGGGGAAUAUUGGACAAUGGGCGCAAGCCUGAUCCAGCCAUACCGCGUGGGUGAAGAAGGCCUUCGGGUUGUAAAGCCCUUUUGUUGGGAAAGAAAUCCAGCUGGUUAAUACCCGGUUGGGAUGACGGUACCCAAAGAAUAAGCACCGGCUAACUUCGUGCCAGCAGCCGCCGCGG
rnacentral:rRNA from 1 species